CCGUCAUCCCGCCGGGCGCCGCCGCCAUCUCGGCACCGACAGCCGGGCCGGGCCGGGCCGGGCCGGCGUCCCCGCAUUCCCGGCUCCCCGCUGCAUUCCUCGGGCCCCGCUGCAUUCCCCGCUCCCUGCCAUGAGCUGGGACGGCGCCGGCGAGGAAGUCCGGCUCCUCCUGGACCUAUGCCUUCAGUGUUUGACAAAGAAUCUUUCCAGAUACUCUGCAGAUAUUAAGUCAUUGCCACCCAAUAUAAAGGAUAAACUGAUUAAAUUAAUGAGUAGGCAAGGGCAAAUUACUGAUGCAAAUAUCAGUGAGGUAUUGCACCCUGCUGUGGAGUCUCUGGAUCUCCGAGACUGUGAUAUUUCAGAUAAUGCAUUAUUGCAGCUUUAUAACUGCAAGCAGCUGAAAAAAAUCAACUUAAAUUCUUGCAAGGAGAACAGAUUUGGAAUUACUUCGGAAGGAGUCAUAGCACUGGCCUUAUCCUGUCCCUACCUGCGUGAAGCAUCUUUCAAAAGGUGCUGUGAUAUAACUGACAGUGGAGUUCUGGCUCUUGCACUCAACUGCCAAUUCCUACAAAUAGUGAACUUGGGCAGCUGCUCAGGCAUCAUGGAUGCAUCUCUGCAGGCACUAGGAGAGAACUGCAAAUUUCUUCACAGUGUGGACUUCUCAUCUACUCAGGUAACAGAUGAUGGCGUUGUAGCACUAGUGAGUGGAACAUGCUCAAAGAAUUUAAAGGAGAUCCACAUGGAGCGCUGUGUGAAUCUCACGGACAUCGCUGUAGAAGCCGUCCUUACUUGUUGUCCCAAGAUACACAUUUUUCUCUUCCAUGGAUGCCCACUGAUAACAGAUCGGUCCCGAGAUGCUUUGGAGCAACUCAUCAUAUCAAACAAAAUCAAACAACUAACAUGGACUGUUUACUGAUUAUUUAUCCUGUACAUGUGAGUGUCAAGUUUACAGGUGGGAGAGGUCUUUCAGCAAACAAGCACCUUGGAAGAACUAGCUGGUGACUUUUGUUCCAUCAGGUUGCAUCCCUCCUGCUUCCCACUGGAGGUCUCCGUUGCCAUUCCAGUCCUUGCCUGUGGGCCUGGGCUUCCCCAUUGUCUCUCCUUGGAGCCCUGUCUGUCUUCGCAUUGAUCAAACUUCAUUAAGAGUAAAGUUAAACUGUAAUUAAUAUUACAGGGCCGUUGCUCAGGCUUCCCGAAGUGCUGGAUUUGGCUGCUACUUAGUAUCCUCUAUCAAUUUAGCUACAAACCCAGUUUAGGUAAAUCUGUGUUCUGAGUUUGUAUUCUGGGGUGAUACUUGCAAUUAAAAGUACCCAGCCGAAAUGUAACAUUGGCAUGCAGCAGUGGCUGUGAAGAUGGGAGUUGAAUCUGACUAAAAUCAACAGCCAGAACUGGUGAUUGGAGGUGGCAUUAACUGUGAUACAAAUGUACUUUCAGUAGUAACAAAGAAUCUCCUUUCACCACAUACUUUUGCUAGAUCUGGAAUAAAAAACAUAGGUACCUUUCUUCUAUGUUACUGAUGCUGCAGGUUGCUGUUCUUACUUACCAUCAAAUACUUGCUGGAUUUUUACACAUCCAAAAGUACAGCCUGUGAAUGUGUAAACAUAAACUUGCUUUGGAAUUGUUAUGGUGACUUUACAAAUUUCAGAGUAGAAGCUGUGACCAAGAACAGGAUUUUAUAUAUGGGCAAAUAUUUAAUUUGCCCUGGCUUUUGCCUGUGUUUCUACAUGAAAAUCCUUUUAGGGAACAAAACACCGGUAGUCAUAAACCUAUCUGUGAGUGAAAUAGGACCAAAUGUAGUGUCUGAGGAUAUACAUCUCAGGAUGGUGAGUAUGUCUUCUGCUAUAUGUAGUUCAUUAAAUAUUCAGUGGCCCCUAGAGGCUGAAAAUAUCAAUAAUUGUAUUGUUCAGUUAUAGUAGUAUUGUAAAAUAAUUUUUGAACUGUAGAGAGAGUUUAUUACAUGAUGGAGCAGUGCUCUCAUCACAAUUAUAAGUCAUGUUCCUUGGCUUUCUUGAACCAGCAUAACCUCCAGUCAGAGUCCUAUGAUUUCUGCAUGAAGCUCCUUAAUGCCAGCCAUUUUAGCUUUAUAAGGGCAUGGAGCACACAGGGUUCAUCCUCUGGAUGUGGAGGUAGAAGGCUUUAGCUAUGGUUGUCUAACAUGGAUUUGAUGACAUAUGGAAACCUGAAGAGUUUAGGCAACCAUAAGGAAUAUGUUUACCAUUUAACUCUUGUCAUAGCCACACCUAAGUGUUGCAGAAAUAAACUAGUCUUAUAUUAAUCUCUUUAAAGUUCAGGUCUAAUUGCAUGGAAGGUAUUUUUUGUUGCCAAUAUUAAAGGAUAUUAUGAUGUCUGACUAUAAUGUUUCUUCUUCUGUUGAUUAUAUGGUUUUUGAAAGUGCAAGUCUAUCUAGAAAAGUUGUUCAGGUGUCAGUAAAAGCGUAUUUUUCCAAGACCAGCACCUAAAACCCUUACUCUUGUUGCGUGGCUCAGCCCAGUGAUGGAUGUGUUCCUAUGAUCUCUGUGAGUGUAACUGCACCAGUACAAACCACUGGUUCGAGAAGGAGUUGAUUUUGCUACAGUAGCCACAAGCAUCUGACAGCUGUCACUGCAGCAAAUCCUUGCACCAGAUAGAGACCUAAUAACCUAAUCUACUAGUUUUUGUGGUGGUUUGUUUUUGUGUUUGUUUGUUUGUUUGUUUUGUUGGUUUUUUGUUUUUGUUUUGUUUUGUUUUUUUUGCUGAGGAGUAGUUCAUUGUUAUGCCCUGUGGAAUCCCUGGGAUCAAUCAGGGCCCAUCGUUCCUUUGAACUCUUGGACAAUAAAUCUGUGUUGCAAUAUUUUUGAUAUUGAAUCAUAUAGCUCUUUAGGCAGCUCUGUGAAACAGUGCUACUGCUAAUCUCAGUGGCAAAGAUGACUUUUUUCUCCUUGCUAAUAUAACCUUGGAUUUGUCAUGUUGAAGGCAAAUGCAGCUUAUAUGUACCCUUAAGUGUGCCUGUAGAUUUACCAUCUUCCCCUACAGCCUGUUCUCAAUGUGUGACUUAGUGGUACAUCCUCACCUGGUCCUUAAAAAGCUGUACAACACUGCAGUGAGGUAACACUGUAAUUUUAGGUUUAAAAGUUUAAUGUAAGUUACUUUAAAUCCUUCACUGUUAGAGCUUGAGUCUGCCCUUACUCAGACUUUGUGUUUUGUAUUUGCAUAACUCUACUGGAAUGUUUUUUGGUUCACAGUAAUUUUCAACAAAUGUUUACAGGCACUGGGUGAAGUGGGAGAAGAACCUCAUGGAUGUGCUUACUACUUCAUAUUCUCUAUUAUUUGGACAUUGUUAUUGUUGUGAGCCUUGCAGAAUAUCCACAUAUUGUUAUGAAGAUUAAAGUUUAGAAGUUGGCUGUUUGGAUAGUUCUGAAAACUUGUUGGAUUCUGGAACCAUGUACAUCUGACUGUACUCCUAAACCUCCUACUUCAUGAACACCAUGGUUUUCUGAACCCUGGGCCUUUCCUAUGCUGAUCCUGCAAGUACACUCAGCAAGAAGUGGCCUGAAAGGAGAGGAAAUGUUUUCCAGCCUCCCUGCUUAGAUCUCCUUCACCAUCCAUUAGUAUUUCCGUAUCCUUUUUCCUUCUUCACCUUGCUCUCUAAUUUCUUUUCAAUAACUCAGACUUCCUUGCUUCAGGGCACAGCUUUUGAACCUCCCCUGAAACUGACGACCAGAGAAGCAUUUCAGGCCUGUGCUUCCACAACAGCAAGACUGCAAGUACAAACAAACAAGAAACUGAACUCGUUGUUUUGUAAUUGCUUUCUUUCUUCUGCAGUGGUUUCCACAAACCAGCAGAAUAAUGCAUGAAGAAAAACAACUUUCAUCCCAGCCCCGACAGCUUUUCACAACAGAAGAAUCAUGGACAACUUCAAGCUGUGCAGGUUGUCCUUAAAAUUAGACAAAGGGACAACAGGAAGAAUAUGCCAGUGAAAGAGUCUUAACACUUUGUAUUUAAUUAGAUCAGUUUUUCUUUAUUUGUCUGUAUCUUUAGAAAAAAAGUAAUACAUGUGUUAUGUGUAAUAAGCAUCAUUCGCACCUAUAAAGUGAUAUAUGGAUAGGAGUUUUUAUAUGAUUAAAUAUAGACACAAAGCAAGCGAGCCAGGGCAAGGGGUGGGGGGCUGUCUCAUGUAUGUCGAAACCAUAGUAGACAAGGCUUCAUUUACAAGUUAAUACAAGUGGCUCGCUCGGAGAUGGGCCGUUUCUUGAGAUUAUCUAGGAACGGACAAGCGAUGAUCGUCCCGACAACUACCCGAGAUUGGAAUCGCUGGAAUCUCCGGGGGAUGCAUCUCAAUGUCGGGUUCCCGUAACUUCAUAAUCGAUGUACACCGCUUCCCGGACCUCGGAUUCUUCAACCCAGCGCAGAGAAAAGGGACUUUAUGAAUAUGUGGGACUUUGAAUGGAAUGAAAAGGCUGAUCACCGAAAUCCCGGUCUCAAGCAAAAUAAACUGUAUAAAAACUGCUCGAGCAGAACGGAUGAUGUGAAGCAUAGGAUACCCUCUGCUAGAGUGGUUGAACCUGUGUCUCACCCAGCGCCAAUCCCGGGCUCGGCACUGUCCUUUUCUUUGUGGCUGGCUCAGAUAGAAUUUGAUCUUUAUAAUAAAAAUUAUUUUUUCUUUUUU